rnacentral:rRNA from 1 species
UACAGAGACUGCAAGCGUUAUUCGGAUUCACUGGGCGUAAAGGGUGCGCAGGCGGUUGGGUGUGUCAGAUGUGAAAUCCCGAGGCUCAACCUCGGAACUGCGGCUGAAACUACUCGACUAGAGUACUGGAGAGGGUAACGGAAUUCACGGUGUAGCAGUGAAAUGCGUAGAUAUCGUGAGGAACACCAGAGGCGAAGGCGGCUCUCUGGACCAGCACUGACACUGAGGCACGAAAGCGUGGGGAGCAAACAGG